rnacentral:rRNA from 1 species
CCGCGAAGGAAAUUCGCACGGUGAAGCCCAGCUUGCUGGGUGGAUCAGUGGCGAACGGGUGAGUAACACGUGAGCAAUCUGCCCCUGACUCUGGGAUAAGCGCUGGAAACGGCGUCUAAUACUGGAUAUGAACCGUGGAGGCAUCUUCAACGGUUGGAAAGAUUUUUUGGUCAGGGAUGAGCUCGCGGCCUAUCAGCUUGUUGGUGAGGUAAUGGCUCACCAAGGCGUCGACGGGUAGCCGGCCUGAGAGGGUGACCGGCCACACUGGGACUGAGACACGGCCCAGACUCCUACGGGAGGCAGCAGUGGGGAAUAUUGCACAAUGGGCGCAAGCCUGAUGCAGCAACGCCGCGUGAGGGAUGACGGCCUUCGGGUUGUAAACCUCUUUUAGCAGGGAAGAAGCGAAAGUGACGGUACCUGCAGAAAAAGCGCCGGCUAACUACGUGCCAGCAGCCGCGGUAAUACGUAGGGCGCAAGCGUUAUCCGGAAUUAUUGGGCGUAAAGAGCUCGUAGGCGGUUUGUCGCGUCUGCUGUGAAAUCCCGAGGCUCAACCUCGGGUCUGCAGUGGGUACGGGCAGACUAGAGUGCGGUAGGGGAGAUUGGAAUUCCUGGUGUAGCGGUGGAAUGCGCAGAUAUCAGGAGGAACACCGAUGGCGAAGGCAGAUCUCUGGGCCGUAACUGACGCUGAGGAGCGAAAGGGUGGGGAGCAAACAGGCUUAGAUACCCUGGUAGUCCACCCCGUAAACGUUGGGAACUAGUUGUGGGGUCCAUUCCACGGAUUCCGUGACGCAGCUAACGCAUUAAGUUCCCCGCCUGGGGAGUACGGCCGCAAGGCUAAAACUCAAAGGAAUUGACGGGGACCCGCACAAGCGGCGGAGCAUGCGGAUUAAUUCGAUGCAACGCGAAGAACCUUACCAAGGCUUGACAUAUACGAGAACGCUGCAGAAAUGUAGAACUCUUUGGACACUCGUAAACAGGUGGUGCAUGGUUGUCGUCAGCUCGUGUCGUGAGAUGUUGGGUUAAGUCCCGCAACGAGCGCAACCCUCGUUCUAUGUUGCCAGCACGUAAUGGUGGGAACUCAUGGGAUACUGCCGGGGUCAACUCGGAGGAAGGUGGGGAUGACGUCAAAUCAUCAUGCCCCUUAUGUCUUGGGCUUCACGCAUGCUACAAUGGCCGGUACAAAGGGCUGCAAUACCGUAAGGUGGAGCGAAUCCCAAAAAGCCGGUCCCAGUUCGGAUUGAGGUCUGCAACUCGACCUCAUGAAGUCGGAGUCGCUAGUAAUCGCAGAUCAGCAACGCUGCGGUGAAUACGUUCCCGGGUCUUGUACACACCGCCCGUCAAGUCAUGAAAGUCGGUAACACCUGAAGCCGGUGGCCCAACCCUUGUGGAGGGAGCCGUC